rnacentral:lncRNA from 1 species
CUCCCAGCUACUGCAAGCUGGCCUCCUAAGGGGCUGUGCACCCCCAGCGGGCUGGCCCCAGCACCUUCUGCCCUUCCCAGUACCUUGUGCCCUUGCCAGUGAACGCAGGGUUUGCCAUUGCUACCAAGCAAGCACCACGAGAAAGGGAGGGUACGCCAGGCGAGCCCAGGGCACAGAUGCUGAGACAGCCUCUCCCUCUCAGUGCAGGGACGUCACCCCUGCCAGGCAAGCCCAGGGCACAGAUGCCAGGAUGGCUUCUCCCUCUCAGUGCGAGGCUUCACCCCUGCCAAGCAAGCCCAGGGCACAGAUGCUGAGACAGCCUCUCCCUCUCAGUGCAGGGACGUCACCCCUGCCAGGCAAGCCCAGGGCACAGAUGCCGGGACGGCCUCUCCCUCUCAGUGUGAGGCUUCACCCAUGCUAGGCAAGCCCAGGGCACAGAUGCCGGGAUGGCCCCUCCCUCUCAGUGCGGGAACGUCACCCCUGCCAGGCAAGCCCGGGGCACAGAUGCUGGGACGGCCUCUCCCUCUCAGUGCAGGGAUGUCACCCCUGCUAGGCAAGCCCGGGGCACAGAUGCUGGGACGGCC